AGUCGCACGUUCUCCAAGUCACGUCCCCCGCUUCCCCUAGUAGGGGGUCGACGGAGAUUGGACCCUUCCCCCAGUCAGCUGCUCUGCAUCUGUCACCUCGGCGGCAGCGCUCCCUUGAGGUCGCACCUCCGCUGUGGAGGGAGGCGAGAGCGAGCUGAGUGGGGGGUCUUCCCUUCCCCCAUCCCGCUGGCCCCAGACAAGCCACCGCAGACCGCGGCGAAAUCAGUUAAGCUCUUGCGUGCACCAGUUCCCGGAGCAGAGUCUGAAAGUUUUUGUGUUUCUGUGCGGCUACUUUUAAGUAUAAAAAAUUCAGCAGUGGCUCCUGGGUGCCUAUGUCAGCGUCUGGCCCUUUGUGGAUUACGUACGGGACAACUGGGGUGGGGAAGGGCCCCUCUUCACAGGCAGCAAUUCCCAGAGUGGCCUUCCUAUGGGACCCCAGAGCUCCCAGGGGGAGGAUCCCAGAGGGGGAUAUGGUAACAGAAUCACUGUCACUUCUGGGAUUGAGGGUGGCAGCUAAAGGGAAACCCCUCGAGUGUCAGUCGGACUUGCCAUUUGAGUCAGCACUGCUAGGUGCUGCUGAAUUCUGCAGGGGGAGGAAGAACCUGAUCAGAUAAAACAAGGGCUGACCUAGAGAAAGUCUCUUGGGUCAACAUAUUCUUAGCGAUAACAGAAGAUCACUCCAACUGUUCUACACCCCACCCUACAACAUUGACCCCCCGCUUUCCAGCAUUUACAGUCCCUUUUAGUUUACAACUAAGAGUAUGGGUUGCCUGGGAUCAGGAAAUGAGCC
rnacentral:lncRNA from 1 species